GGUACCAUCUCUCAUGCAUGAGGCCAUCACUGGCUAAUACAAGCAUGGCAAACGAAUAUAAAUGCCCUUUCUGCUUUUGUAUUGAGACUGGAGCUAUUUCUAAGAAUGGCAAUCAUCGUUUGAUAUCUAGGGAAACACGCCCUGAACUAAAGAUGUUCAACAAACUUUUGUGUGAUGCCAGGGAUUUUUAUGUAGGGAUUACAGAAACAGAUAUAGUAUAAGAUAUUGUGGAUCAAGCUUUGGCAUGCAAGUCCCACUUAACUGACAUAGUGAAUUGUGUACUUGCAUAUGUCAACAAAGAUCUUAGUUUCAUGUCUGAAAAUCUUUUGAUUGUUUUGAAAGUAGUAUUUAUUUUCUGCCAACCCUUUCCUUCU